rnacentral:rRNA from 1 species
UACGUAGGGUGCGAGCGUUGUCCGGAAUUAUUGGGCGUAAAGAGCUCGUAGGCGGUCUGUCGCGUCUGCUGUGAAAUCCCGAGGCUCAACCUCGGGCUUGCAGUGGGGUACGGGCAGGCUAGAGUGCGGUAGGGGAGAAUGGAACUCCUGGUGUAGCGGUGGAAUGCGCAGAUAUCAGGAAGAACACCGAUGGCGAAGGCAGUUCUCUGGGCCGUAACUGACGCUGAGGAGCGAAAAGCGUGGGGAGCGAACAGG